rnacentral:rRNA from 1 species
UGGUAUUUGGAGGCAUUGCCUGCCAGUGACAACUGUUUAACGGCCGCGGUAUCCUGACCGUGCAAAGGUAGCAUAAUCAUUUGUUCUCUAAAUAAGGACUUGUAUGAAUGGCCGCACGAGGGUUUUACUGUCUCUUACUUCCAAUCAGUGAAAUUGACCUUCCCGUGAAGAGGCGGGAAUGCACAAAUAAGACGAGAAGACCCUAUGGAGCUUUAACUAACCAACCCAAAGAGAAUAGAUUUAACCAUUAAGGAAUAACAACAAUCUCCAUGAGUUGGUAGUUUCGGUUGGGGUGACCUCGGAGAAUAAAAAAUCCUCCGAGCGAUUUUAAAGACUAGACCCACAAGUCAAAUCACUCUAUCGCUCAUUGAUCCAAAAACUUGAUCAACGGAACAAGUUACCCUAGGGAUAACAGCGCAAUCCUAUUCAAGAGUCCAUAUCGACAAUAGGGUUUACGACCUCGAUGUUGGAUCAGGACAUCCUGAUGGUGCAACCGCUAUCAAAGGUUCGUUUGUUCAACGAUUAAAGUCCUACGUGAUCUGAGUUCAGACCGGA